CCUACGGGUGGCAGCAGGGAGGAAUAUUGGGCAAUGGGCGCGAGCCGGAACCAGCCAAGUAGCGUGAAGGAUGACUGCCCUACGGGUUGUAAACUUCGUUUAUAAAGGAAUAAAGUGAGGCACGUGUGCCUUUUUGUAUGUACUUUAUGAAUAAGGAUCGGCUAACUCCGUGCCAGCAGCCGCGGUAAUACGGAGGAUCCGAGCGUUAUCCGGAUUUAUUGGGUUUAAAGGGAGCGUAGAUGGGUUGUUAAGUCAGUUGUGAAAGUUUGCGGCUCAAGCGUAAAAUUGCACUUGAUACUGGCAGCCUUGAGUACGGUUGAGGUAGGCGGAAUUCGUGGUGUAGCGGUGAAAUGCUUAGAUAUCACGCAGAACUCCGAUUGCGAAGGCAGCCUACUAGACUGCCACUGACAUUGAUGCUCGAAAGUGUGGGUAUCAAACAGGAUUAGCUACCCCAGUAGUC
rnacentral:rRNA from 1 species